rnacentral:rRNA from 1 species
UACGAAGGGAGCUAGCGUUGUUCGGAAUCACUGGGCGUAAAGGGCGCGUAGGCGGCCUGAUAAGUAGGGGGUGAAAUCCUGCGGCUUAACCGCAGGGCUGCCUUCUAAACUGUCAGGCUAGAGCACAGUAGAGGCAGGUGGAAUUCCCGGUGUAGCGGUGGAAUGCGUAGAGAUCGGGAAGAACAUCAGUGGCGAAGGCGGCCUGCUGGGCUGUUGCUGACGCUGAGGCGCGACAGCGUGGGGAGCAAACAGG